rnacentral:rRNA from 1 species
CAGUAGCCGCGGGAAUACGGAGGGAGCUAGCGUUGUUCGGAAUCACUGGGCGUAAAGCGCACGUAGGUGGCUAUUCAAGUCAGGGGUGAAAGCCCGGGGCUCGACCCCGGAACUACCUUUGAAACUAGAUAGCUUGAAUCUUGGAGAGGCGAGUGGAAUUCCGAGUGUAGAGGUGAAAUUCGUAGAUAUUCGGAAGAACACCAGUGGCGAAGGCGACUCGCUGGACAAGUAUUGACGCUGAGGUGCGAAAGCGUGGGGAGCAAACAGGAUUAGAUACCCGCGUAGUCCCUGUCUCUUAUAC